rnacentral:rRNA from 1 species
GAAUGGUGGAUGCCUUGACUGGUAAAGGCGAUGAAGGACGUACUAGACUGCGAUAAGCUACGGGGAGCUGUCAAGAAGCUUUGAUCCGUAGAUUUCCGAAUGGGGCAACCCAAUGUAUAGAGAUAUACAUUACCUAUAUAGGAGCGAACGAGGGGAAUUGAAACAUCUUAGUACCCUCAGGAAAAGAAAUCAAUAGAGAUUGCGUCAGUAGCGGCGAGCGAAAGCGCAAGAGGGCAAACCCAGUGCUUGCACUGGGGGUUGUAGGACUGCAAUGUGCAAGAGGUGAGUUUAGCAGAACAUUCUGGAAAGUAUAGCCAUAGAGGGUGAUAGUCCCGUAUGCGAAAAACAAACCUUAGCUAGCAGUAUCCUGAGUAGGGCGGGACACGAGGAAUCCUGUCUGAAUCCGGGUCGACCACGAUCCAACCCUAAAUACUAAUACCAGAUCGAUAGUGCACAAGUACCGUGAGGGAAAGGUGAAAAGAACUGAGGUGAUCAGAGUGAAAUAGAACCUGAAACCAUUUGCUUACAAUCAUUCAGAGCCCUAUGUAGCAAUACAGGGUGAUGGACUGCCUUUUGCAUAAUGAGCCUGCGAGUUGUGGUGUCUGGCAAGGUUAAGCAAACGCGAAGCCGUAGCGAAAGCGAGUCUGAAUAGGGCGCUUAGUCAGAUGCUGCAGACCCGAAACGAAGUGAUCUAUCCAUGAGCAAGUUGAAGCUAGUGUAAGAACUAGUGGAGGACUGAACCCAUAGGCGUUGAAAAGCCCCGGGAUGACUUGUGGAUAGGGGUGAAAGGCCAAUCAAACUUCGUGAUAGCUGGUUCUCUCCGAAAUAUAUUUAGGUAUAGCGUUGUGUCGUAAUAUAAGGGGGUAGAGCACUGAAUGGGCUAGGGCAUACACCAAUGUACCAAACCCUAUCAAACUCCGAAUACCUUAUAUGUAAUCACAGCAGUCAGGCGGCGAGUGAUAAAAUCCGUCGUCAAGAGGGAAACAACCCAGACUACCAGCUAAGGUCCCUAAGUCUUACUUAAGUGGAAAACGAUGUGAAGUUACUUAAACAACCAGGAGGUUGGCUUAGAAGCAGCCAUCCUUUAAAGAAAGCGUAAUAGCUCACUGGUCUAGUGAUUUUGCGCGGAAAAUAUAACGGGGCUAAAGU